AACGACGUAUAGGAGGUCUUGCCUGCCCAGUGACAAUGUUAAACGGCCGCGGUAUUUUGACCGUGCGAAGGUAGCGCAAUCACUUGUCUUUUAAUGAAGACCUGUAUGAAUGGUGAAACGAGGGCUUAACUGUCUCCCUUUUCUAGUCAAUGAAAUUGAUCUGCCCGUGCAGAAGCGGACAUAAAAAUACAAGACGAGAAGACCCUUUGGAGCUUAAGAUAUAAAGAUCAUCUAUGUCAAUGGGCCCCAACACGGCAACAAACUAAAUAGCAACUGAUCUUAAUCUUCGGUUGGGGCGACCACGGGAGAAAAUAAAGCUCCCACGCGGACUGGGGUAAACCCUAAAACCAAGAAAAACAUUUCUAAGAAACAGAACUUCUGACCAUUAAGAUCCGGCUACACGCCGACCAACGGACCAAGUUACCCUAGGGAUAACAGCGCAAUCCCCUUUCAGAGUCCAUAUCGACAAGGGGGUUUACGACCUCGAUGUUGGAUCAGGACAUCCUAAUGGUGCAGCCGCUAUUAAGGGUUCGUUGUCUGCCGUACCCCC
rnacentral:rRNA from 1 species